rnacentral:rRNA from 1 species
CUGCUAUCGGAUGAUACUAAGCCAUGCGAGUCUUUGUAGUAAUACAAGGCAUACGGCUCAGUAACACGUAGUCAACCUACCCUAUGGACAAGAAUAAUCUCGGGAAACUGGGCAUAAUUCUUGAUAGAUCAUAAUGCCUGGAAUGGUUUAUGGUUAAAAUGAUUCGUCGCCAUAGGAUGGGACUGCGGCCUAUCAGCUUGUUGGUGAGGUAAUGGCCCACCAAGGCGAUUACAGGUACGGGCUCUGAGAGGAGAAGCCCGGAGAUGGGUACUGAGACACGGACCCAGGCCCUAUGGGGCGCAGCAGGCGAGAAAACUUUGCAAUGUGCGAAAGCACGACAAGGUUAAUCCGAGUGAUUUCUGCUAAAGAAAUCUUUUGCCAGUCAUAAAACCACUGGUGAAUAAGGGGUGGGCAAGUUCUGGUGUCAGCCGCCGCGGUAAAACCAGCACCUCAAGUGGUCAGGAUGAUUAUUGGGCCUAAAGCAUCCGUAGCCGGCUUUGUAAGUUUUCGGUUAAAUCCAUGUGCUCAACGCAUGGGCUGCCGAAAAUACUGCAUAGCUAGGGAGUGGGAGAGGUAGACGGUACUCAGUAGGAAGGGGUAAAAUCCUUUGAUCUAUUGAUGACCACCUGUGGCGAAGGCGGUCUACCAGAACACGUUCGACGGUGAGGGAUGAAAGCUGGGGGAGCAAACCGGAUUAGAUACCCGGGUAGUCCCAGCUGUAAACGAUGCAGACUCGAUGAUGCAUUGGCAUAAUAGCCAGUGCAGUGUCGCAGGGAAGCCGUUAAGUCUGCCGCCUGGGAAGUACGUACGCAAGUAUGAAACUUAAAGGAAUUGGCGGGGAGCACCACAAGGGUGAAGCCUGCGGUUCA